GUGGUCGUAGCUCAACUGGUGGAGCAGCGGGUUGUGGACCCGCCGGUUGCGGGUUCGAGCCCCGUCGAUCACCCCA
rnacentral:tRNA from 1 species